rnacentral:rRNA from 1 species
CCCUUAGAUGUUCUGGGCCGCACGCGCGCUACACUGAUGAAUUCAACGAGCCUAGCCUUGUCCGAAAGGUCCGGGUAAUCUCUGAAACUUCAUCGUGAUGGGGUUAGAUCAUUGCAAUUAUUGAUCUUCAACGAGGAAUUCCUAGUAAGCGCAAGUCAUCAGCUUGCGUUGAUUACGUCCCUGCCCUUUGUACACACCGCCCGUCGCUUGUACCGAUUGGAUGGUCCGGUGAAAUCUUCGGAUAGCUGGUAGUUGGCUUGCCAUCUACUGCUAAAAGUUGCUUAAACCUUAUCAUCUAGAGGAACAAGAAGUCGUAACA